rnacentral:rRNA from 1 species
AUAUCAAUAAGCGGAGGAAAAGAAACCAACAGGGAUUGCCCUAGUAACGGCGAGUGAAGCGGCAAAAGCUCAAAUUUGAAAUCUGGCUCUAAGCCCGAGUUGUAAUUUGUAGAGGAAUAUUCGGCAAUGUUAUUGGUAUAAGUUUCCUGGAACGGAACGUCUUGGAGGGUGAGAACCCCGUAUAUUACUGAAUGACAGCGCUAUGUGAAUAUCCUUCGAAGAGUCGAGUUGUUUGGGAAUGCAGCUCAAAAUGGGUGGUAAAUCUCAUCUAAAGCUAAAUAUUGGCGAGAGACCGAUAGCGAACAAGUACCGUGAGGGAAAGAUGAAAAGAACUUUGAAAAGAGAGUUAAACAGUACGUGAAAUUGUUGAAAGGGAAACGUUUGAAAUCAGUCAUUUCUUCUGGAAAUCAGCCUUGCUUUUGCAUGGUGUAUUUUCCAGUGGAAAGGUUAACGUCAAUUUUGGUUGUCGGAUAAAAGCCUUUGGAAUGUGGCUCUCUUCGGGGAGUGUUAUAGCCAAGGUCAAUACGAUGACUGGGAUUGAGGAUUCGCCGCCAAUGCUCUCUGGGCAGUGGCAUCAUGCGCUCAGGUUA